GAUGAAGAACGCAGCGAAAUGCGAUAAGUAGUGUGAAUUGCAGAAUUCAGUGAAUCAUCGAAUCUUUGAACGCACAUUGCGCCCCUUGGUACUCCAUGGGGCAUGCCUGUUCGAGCGUCAUUUACACCCUCAAGCUCAGCUUGGUGUUGGGCGUCUGUCCCGCUUCGUGCGCGGACUCGCCUCAAAUGCAUUGGCAGCGGUCUUGCCAGCUUCUCGCGCAGCACAUUGCGCUUCUAGAGGCUUUGGCGGAUCGGCGUCCAUCAAGUACACCCACAGUUUGACCUCGGAUCAGGUAGGGAUACCCGCUGAACUUAAGCAUAUCAUAAGCGGAGA
rnacentral:misc_RNA from 1 species